rnacentral:siRNA from 1 species
UCUUAUCAUGAAUAUGGAAUUGGA